rnacentral:rRNA from 1 species
AGGACAAACGCUGGCGGCGUACUUAAGACAUGCAAGUCGAACGGGCGCUUCACCUUCGGGUGGGUGUGCUAGUGGCGGACGGGUGAGUAACGCGUAGGAACCUGUCAUCAAGAGGGGGAUAACGCUGGGAAACCGGCGCUAAUACCGCAUGUGGUCAUGAAAAUGAAGAAAGCAGCAAUGCGCUUGAUGAGGGGCCUGCGUCCGAUUAGCUUGUUGGUGGGGUAAAGGCCUACCAAGGCAUCGAUCGGUAGCUGGUCUGAGAGGAUGGUCAGCCACACUGGGACUGAGACACGGCCCAGACUCCUACGGGAGGCAGCAGUUAGGAAAUUUUCCCAAUGGGCGCAAGCCUGAGGGAGUAACGCCGCGUGGAGGAUGACGGCUUUCGGGUUGUAAACUCCUUUCUGUGGGAAGAGUAGAAGACGGUACCGCAGGAAUAAGCCUCGGCUAACUACGUGCCAGCAGCCGC